GCCCUGAUAGCUCAGUUGGUAGAGCAAAGGACUGAAAAUCCUUGUGUCGGUGGUUCGAGUCCGCCUCGGGGCACCA
rnacentral:tRNA from 3 species